rnacentral:rRNA from 1 species
GCAUAAUCAAUAGUUUUUUAAUUGAAAACUGGAAUGAAAGGUAGAAACUUUAAGGAUUGUUUUAUCUAAAAAUUUUUAAAUUAAAUUAAAAGUAAAAAUGCUUUUAUUAAUCCUUGGGACGAGAAGACCCUAGAAGCUUAAAAUUAAAUAUUUUUGGUUGGGGUAACUAUAAUGAAGAUAUUAAUUUUUAUAUUUAAAAAUUUUAUAAUAAGUUACUCUAGGGAUAACAGCGUUAUUUAGUUAACAAGUUCUUAUUAAUAAUUAAGAUUGCGACC